AUUGGAAGUAUUAGUUUCUUGAGAAAUAGUAUUACAUUUUGCAUUUCUAAAGAAACCGUUGUAUAUUUAUAGAUACAGGCUUGCUUGGCGUAAAACCAUCCACAAGUCUCUUUGGACAGCCAGUACUAACUGGUCAAAAAGUGACUAGCCCUUUUGGGACUCAGGGCUUGACAGGUGCCAGCUUGUUUGGCAGAACAUCCUCCACAAGUCCUUUUGGAGAGCCACCAAAUACUCAGAGUACGGGCUUGCUAGGCGGAACACCAUCCACAAGUCUUUUUGGACAGCCAGUACUAAAUGGCCAAAGUACGGGUUUGUUUGGCCAAACAACCUCUGCAAGUUCUUUUGGACAGCUACAAAAUACUCAGGGUGAGUAAAAAUUUUUAU
rnacentral:misc_RNA from 1 species